rnacentral:rRNA from 1 species
CAUAUCAAUAAGCGGAGGAAAAGAAACUAACAAGGAUUCCCCUAGUAACUGCGAGUGAAGCGGGAAAAGCUCAAAUUUAAAAUCUGGCGGUCUUUGGCUGUCCGAGUUGUAAUCUAGAGAAGUGUUAUCCGUGCUGGACCGUGUACAAGUCUCCUGGAAUGGAGCGUCAUAGAGGGUGAGAAUCCCGUCUUUGACACGGACUGCCAGGACUUUGUGAUGCGCUCUCAAAGAGUCGAGUUGUUUGGGAAUGCAGCUCAAAAUGGGUGGUAAAUUCCAUCUAAAGCUAAAUAUUGGCGAGAGACCGAUAGCGAACAAGUACCGUGAGGGAAAGAUGAAAAGAACUUUGGAAAGAGAGUUAAACAGUACGUGAAAUUGCUGAAAGGGAAACGCUUGAAGUCAGUCGCGUUGUCCAGGGAUCAACCUUGCUUUUGCUUGGUGCACUUUCUGGUUGACGGGUCAGCAUCAAUUUUGACUAUUGGAAAAAGAUUAGGGGAAUGUGGCAUCUUCGGAUGUGUUAUAGCCCUUGGUUGUAUACAAUGGUUGGGAUUGAGGAACUCAGCACGCCGCAAGGCCGGGUUUUAACCACGUACGUGCUUAGGAUGCUGGCAUAAUGGCUUUAAUCGACCCGUCUUGAAACACGGACCAAGGAGUCUAACAUGCCUGCGAGUGUUUGGGUGGAAAACUCGAGCGCGUAAUGAAAGUGAAAGUUGAGAUCCCUGUCGUGGGGAGCAUCGACGCCCGGACCAGACCUUUUGUGACGGUUCCGCGGUAGAGCAUGUAUGUUGGGACCCGAAAGAUGGUGAACUAUGCCUGAAUAGGGUGAAGCCAGAGGAAACUCUGGUGGAGGCUCGUAGCGAUUCUGACGUGCAAAUCGAUCGUCAAAUUUGGGUAUAGGGGCGAAAGACUAAUCGAACCAUCUAGUAGCUGGUUCCUG